UUGGAGGGCAAGUCUGGUGCCAGCAGCCGCUGUAAUUCCAGCUCCAAUAGCGUAUAUUAAAGUUGUUGCAGUUAAAAAGCUCGUAGUUGAAUUUCGGGGUUAGUAGGCUGGUCGUGCCACCGGUAUGUACUGGUCUUACUGAUUCCUCCUUCCUGAUGAACUGUAAUGCCAUUAAUUUGGUGUUGCAGGGAAUCUGGACUGUUACUUUGAAAAAAUUAGAGUGUUUAAAGCAGGCUAACGCUUGAAUACAUUAGCAUGGAAUAAUGAAAUAGGACGUUCGAUCCUAUUUUGUUGGUUUCUAGGAUUGACGUAAUGAUUAAUAGGGAUAGUUGGGGGCAUUAGUAUUCAAUUGUCAGAGGUGAAAUUCUUGGAUUUAUUGAAGACUGACUACUGCGAAAGCAUUUGCCAAGGAUGUUUUCAUUAAUCAAGAACGAAAGUUAGGGGAUCGAAGACGAUCAGAUACCGUCGUAGUCUUAACCAUAAACUAUGUCGACUAGGGAUCGGAUGAUGUUAAUUUUUUAAUGACUCAUUCGGCGCCUUACGGGAAAC
rnacentral:rRNA from 1 species